UUCCCCUAACUGUAACAAUCGGACGCAAUAUCUACUUCAAUUUUUGUUGAGGCGUCGUGAGAAUAGCACGGUUCGAGUCUCAGCCCUCAAUUUAGGGUUUACAGGCGCGAGGAACAGCAGAAGCAGAGCGAUGGCCAAGAAGAGAAAGGCAGGAGAGGAAAAGUUAACUCCUCAGCCCCAACCUCCAUCGGAGAAAAUUAUUAAGAAAGAAGAAGAAGAGGAGGAAAAGAUUGACAAUGGAGAAGAAGAUCAAAUUUCAGAAGAAGAUUUUAAAGCCCUAAUGGAGCCUUUCAGCAAAGAGCAGCUCUGUCAUAUUAUCCGCGACCUUGCAGCCAACGACGCCAAUGUUUUAUCCGAUAUACGAAAACUCGCCGACAAAGAUCCCGCUCACAGAAAAAUCUUCGUCCGCGGUAUCGGCUGGGACACCACCUCCGAAAUCUUAAAAUCUGUAUUUUCUGAAUACGGCGAGCUCGAAGAAUGCACAGUGAUAAUGGAUAAGGGGACUGGAAAAUCCAAGGGCUAUGGCUUCGUAACCUACAAACACAUGGAUGCUGCGCAGAGGGCUAUGAAAGAACCCAGCAAGAAGAUCGAUAACCGGAUGGCAGCCUGCCAAAUGGCUUGUCUUGGUCCCGUGCCGCAGCAACCUACUAGCGAUCCUGCGGGACGCAAGAUUUAUGUAAGUAAUGUACCCGCUGAUAUGCCUGCGGAUAAAUUGCUCAGCUUUUUUUCGAAAUAUGGUGAAGUAGAAGAAGGCCCGCUAGGGUUUGAUAAACAGACUGGGAAGUCCAGAGGGUUUGCGCUUUUUAUUUAUAAGACCGCAGAAGGAGCUAAGAAGGUUCUGGAGGAGCCUAACAAGAACAUUGAUGGUCAUUCUAUGCAUUGUAAAAGAGCCACUGAGAAUCAAAAGCCGAAGAUUAAUGUUACACAUACAGUACCUUCCGUGGCAGGUCCUCUGGACCCUAACGAUCUGGCACUUACUUAUGGUAAGGGUUCGAGUCUCGGAGCAGCCUACGGAGUAUUUCCUUUUAAUCAGGUUGCAGCGCCGGGGUUUAGUAAUGCCUUUAAUGCUAUUUUGGCUAGCCAAAACCAGACCUUUGCCGGCACGAGCAUGGACCCGUCGCGUCUGGCCUCCAUGAAUCCUUCUUUGGCAUCUUCCUUAAACUCUUCGUCGCUUUCACAAGCCUUUUCGCCUUCAGGGCAAGGUUCUUUGGGCCUGGUUGGGUCCUAUGGAAUGCAUUCAAGUCUCGGGCCCUAUGGCUCUCAGCAGGGAGGAAUUGGGGGUGUUACCCCACAGAUGUUUGGAGGUUAUGGUUCGCAAGGGGCUGCUCUGCAAGGACUAAGUCCGUACCAAAGUCAGCAGUUGAGCCAGUCCGGAUUGUCCAGAACAUCGCAGCAGACUGGAGGCAGUUCCUUAGGAGGGAUGUCAUCAUAUCUACCAUACUAGACAGGAAGUUCAUUUUACUUUCUGAUUGUAAAGCAUUUUAUGCCAAAAUUUUGGGCCUUUGUUGAGUUCCUUCAGCAUCUAUUUGACCUUGAGACAUGCAGCUGGCUCUCUAAAGCAUGGUGAUGAUUCAUUGUUGAAGAUAUAUUUUGUAUGGGCUCAUUUGCUUGGAAUUUAUUAAACUUGAAGAGCUUCAUUGAGAUUUGGCAGCUUUUAUCUUUUCUAUUAGGUUUUAUUCUCGAACUGUAUGGUUUCAACUAGCUUAUGGCAAGUGCCAUUGAAAUUUGAAGCCGUUGAUUUUUCUUAAAAUGUAUUGGCCAAGCAAUUUUUUUCGUUAUUUCUGUUAUCUGACGUUAUGCUUUGCUGAUAUUUGUGCUGUUGAUCUUUUCCUCAUGCUUUUGCCAUGUAAACAUGUCUUAUGCAUAAACCAGAACUUGGCAAAAAUUUGAUAUGGAAAUUGUUUAAUGUUUUAUUCUACCACUUGGUGAAAAAAUUCAGAAGAUGGUUUUCUUAUGAUCCA